CGAACCGUGCGAACGUUAUUCGGAAUCAUUGGGCUUAAAGGGCGCGUAGGCGGCGGCGUAAGUUGGAAGUGAAAUCCCAUCGGCUCAACCGUGGAAUUGCUCCCAGUACUGCGUCGCUCGAGGGGGAUAGGGGUCUGCGGAACUACCGGUGGAGCGGUGAAAUGUGUUGAUAUCGGUGGGAACGCCAGUGGCGAAAGCGGCAGACUGGACCCUUCCUGACGCUGAUGCGCGAAAGCUAGGGGAGCAAACGGGAUUAGAUACCCCGGUAGUCCUAGCCUUAAACGUUGGGUACUGAGUAGAAAGGGGACCGAUACCCCCUUCUGCUGGAGCGAAAGUGUUAAGUACCCCGCCUGGGGAGUAUGGUCGCAAGGCUG
rnacentral:rRNA from 1 species